GCAAACUUGGUCAUUUAGAGGAAGUAAAAGUCGUAACAAGGUUUCCGUAGGUGAACCUGCGGAAGGAUCAUUAAAGAAAUAAACCUGGUGGGCUGUCGCUGGCAUGAACUUGCAUGUGCACGUCCAUCAUCUUUAUCCAUCUCCACCUGUGCACCUUUUGUAGACCUGGAUCGCAUUUCAGAGACUCCUGGAAUCGGGAUUGACGAUGUCUUGUCGUUCUUUCCUUGGUUGUGUAUAGCAAUCAGAGUCUUCUGUCGUUGGGAUUGCAAGAUGUAGUGUCGAGCUCUCCUCGGUUUGCGUAUCCAGUGCUCUAUGUCAUUUUUACACAAACGAAUAAAUUAGAAUGUUGUUACAGGUCUUUGCACCUAUAAUAAAACUAUACAACUUUCAGCAACGGAUCUCUUGGCUCUCGCAUCGAUGAAGAACGCAGC
rnacentral:misc_RNA from 1 species